rnacentral:siRNA from 1 species
CUGAUCAGACAACGUGGUUUG